rnacentral:rRNA from 1 species
CCUACGGGAGGCAGCAGUGAGGAAUAUUGGUCAAUGGGCUUACGCCUGAACCAGCCAAGUCGCGUGAGGGAAGACUGCCCUAUGGGUUGUAAACCUCUUUUGUCAGGGAGCAACGCCGGCUACGUGUAGCCGGACUGAGAGUCCCUGAAGAAAAAGCAUCGGCUAACGCCGUGCCAGCAGCCGCGGUAAUACGGAGGAUGCGAGCGUUAUCCGGAUUUAUGGGUUUAAAAGGGUGCGUAGGCGGAAUGCCAAGUCAGCGGUAAAAUCGCGGGGCUCAACCUCGCCCGGCCGUUGAAACUGGCGUUCUUGAGUGAGCGAGAAGUAUGCGGAAUGCGUGGUGUAGCGGUGAAAUGCAUAGAGAUCACGCAGAACUCCGAUUGCGAAGGCAGCAUACCGGCGCCCAACUGACGCUGAAGCACGAAAGCGUGGGUAUCGAACAGGAUUAGAUACCCGGGUAGUC